GUUGAAGCAUAAUGAAAAUAGCGACCACGAUUCUUAUUUAUCGCAUUUAAAAAAAAAAAAAAAAAAAGUUACAAAUAAAAAUAGGAAUGUUGUGUUUAUUGAAAGUAAUAGUAUAAUAAAUGAUAAGAACAAAAUAAAUUAUAUAAAUACAAAAUUUUACAACAAUAGCAAUGAGAGUGGUAAUGGGAAUAGUAAUGGCAAUGGGAAUGGUAAUGGCAGUGGCAAUGACAGUAGCAAUAACAGUAGCAAUGACAAUGGCAAAGGAAAUGAUAAUGAAGGUAACAAUGGAAAUUUAAAAGAUAUAAAAUUUUUAACUAAUAUGCAAAAAAAUUUAGUUUAUUUACUCGAGCGUAAUAAUAAUGUUUUAGUACAUGCUAAGACGGCCAGUGGAAAAACAACGAUCAGUUUAUUAUACUUAGUUUUAAAAUUUUAUUAUAAUUGUGAAUUUAUUUUUCAAGAAGAUAUAGAUAGAGAAAAAUAUUUAAAUAACUACAUGUGUUAUAACAAACACAAUAACAUGUUUAAUGAAAAAAACAAAAAAAAUCAAAGCAAAAUGGUAUAUCAAGACAAAAUGGUAUAUCAAAACAAACUUAAGUAUAAACCAUUUAGUGAAAAAUAUGUAGAACUUUAUGAUUUAAAAGAAAAUAAAGAUUUAUUACUUGAAAAAAAGUCAAAAUGUAUAUUAAAAAAAGGAGAAACCAUUUUGAUACUAUGUCCUUCUAAAGAAUUAUGUGUACAAAUAGCUUAUAAUAUUUUACAUUUUAUGAAUAAUACAAAAGAAAACAUAGUUAAGUUAUUUAUUGACAAAGGGGGUGAAACCUCAAAAAAUGAUCGCAAGCGGGUAAACAAUAAUUUGAUAAAACACCAACAAAGAGAUGGUUUAAAUAAAGAAAAUAAAGGGAUUAGACAAGGAAUGAUUAAAAAAUCGGGUGACAUUAUUAUCGAUAAUGGUGUAGCUAGCUGUGUAGCUCGUAACGAUGGUGGACCCAGUUUGAAUUCCCCUAAAAAUACAAAACGAUUUGAAACAAAUACCAUGAACAAAGUAAACAACCAUGAAAAUACCCUUUUUCUUAUAGGCACUCCAAAGUGCUUUAAUAAUUAUAUUUUAAAUUUAAAUAAAAAUAAG
rnacentral:lncRNA from 1 species